rnacentral:hammerhead_ribozyme from 1 species
AUCCAGAUGACGAGUCCCAAAUAGGACGAAACGCGAGUCAAACUGGAU